GGGAGUCGACGCUGGCCGUCCCCAAUUCAUCGGUCCGAGACUCCGAACCAAAAUUUACAGAGCUCGGUUUGUAGCUUCUGGUUACAGAGAUAAGUCCAUGUCAUAAUGCCGCUUUCCAACUUUUUCUUUUGUAUGUGUAAAGCGAAUGAGAGCCGCAUGAUUCAUGUGGAACAAAGACAAAACUCCAGCAGAAAAAAUACGUCUGGUCAGCGAUCUAUGAGAGCCCAAAUAAAAAUUAUUACUCAAACAAAUCACUAAUCCACGGCAUCACUCCCGUAGCCGCCGUUCGAUUCUCAUAAUCCGUCGCCGUUCAACGCCCGAUCAGAUUUCGUCUAUCAUCUUCUUUCAGUUUUUGAAGUAGGAAAAAGGUUUCAAAAGGCUAAUGGAUUAUGGUCACAAUGACUGUGAACCAAGAAGAAGUGGAUCUUUUAGUCGAAUCAGCAGUACAAAUUCUUCAUUCAGGAGGCAGUCUUUCAAUUUCAACCAAUCAGGAGCUAAUGAUGACAGUGAUCACCUAUCAGUUUCAGAAGCAGGAGAUAUUGGAGAUAGAGCACUUCAUAGUAAAAGACAUAGUGGAAAUGAAAGUGGAAGACCUGUGUUCCCUUUUGAAGAAAAUCUUGUACUUCCCAUUCAAGAACAUUCUUUUAAAGAAUCACACCUCCCAACUCCAUCUCCCUCUUCACCAGAUGCAAUAUUACAUGAUAAAGGCCAGAAUCAAGAUUGUAAAAAAGAGCUUCCAUGGUUCAUGACAUAUAUCUCAUCCCGUGUUCAUCUAGCUGUACUUGGCAUUCUUGGGGUAUUGACAAGGUACCUACUAGAAAAACUAUUUGGUCCUCAAGUGGUAGGUGCUACAAGUGACAAUAGCUAUAUGUAUGUAGACCUUCCUCCCAAUAUGAUUGGUUCUUUCUUGAUGGGUUGGUUUGGUGUUGUUUUCAAAGGAGAUAUAUCCAAAUUCUCCCCUGAGCUGGCAGUUGGGUUGACCACAGGUUACUUAGGGAGUCUGACCACAUUCAGUGGCUGGAAUCAGAAAAUGCUCGAGCUUAGUGUCAAUGGUCAAUGGGUUUUCUCUUUUCUUGGAUUUUUUUUAGGCUUGUUUCUUGUUGCAUAUUCAUUCAUAUUUGGGGUGGAGACAGCAAAGGGUGUGAAAUGGGUUUUUAACAAAACAAAUCUAAAUUCCAAAUGUGGGUUUGAAUUAAAGAACAACAUUAUAAGUGAAAGUAUACUGAUAGUUUUGAUGAUUACAUUACUGGGGUUGCUAUGGGGUGUGAGUAUUGCAUUAUUAAAAAGGGAUUUUGAGAGUGACAAAAGUACAAGUCAGUUAUGGUUAGGUUGUAUAGUUGGACCAAUCGGUGUAUGGAUCAGAUUCUAUUUAGCAAAAUUCAAUGGAAAAGGCUUAGGAAGACAACACAUCAUGAAAUGGAUGCCUUUUGGGACAUUGAUUGCAAAUGUAUCAGCCUCCUGCAUCAUGGCAACCUUUGCAACAUUGAAGAAAGCUGUGAAGGAUGAACAUUUUGAUAUUGUGGCAACAGGGAUCCAGUUUGGGUUAUGUGGUUGUUUGAGUACAGUUUCAACUUUCAUUGCUGAAUUUGGAGCAAUGAGAGAGAGUGUGGAUCCUUGGAAAGCGUAUGUGUAUGCAUUCACAACUAUGAUUGUAUCAUUUGUUUUUGGGACCUUCAUUUACUCGGUUCCUGUGUGGGCUAAAAGUUGGUCAUAGUCACAGAUUCAUCACACAACCAAAUUAAUCGACCUAACCAUAGUUGGAAGUUGAAGCUUCGGUUUUCAGGUGUUUAAAGUAGUUUUUUAGUAGACAUGUGUGGUGUGCAUUUCAUGUUGAAGAAAUGACUCGGUGGUUGAUCUAGAGGAAGUGAAGACAUAUAUGACCUAUGUCAGUCUUGAUCCUCGAACCCUAAAGGAGUUGGUUGAGGGGUAUCUUUCCAACAAAUCUUGAUACCGUUAGGUUAUAGGCUAUUUGGUAGAAGAAUUGUAUUGGGUAUUUGACAUUUGUAUAGUAAAAGCUAUUUAAUAACCUUUUUGAGUAGUAAUAA